rnacentral:rRNA from 1 species
AAUGAACGUUGGCGGCGUGGAUUAGGCAUGCAAGCCGUGCGUGUACCCCGCAAGGGGGAAAGCGGCGUAAGGGAGAGUAAUACGUAGAUACGUGCCUUCAGGUCUGGGAUAGCCACGAGAAACUGUGGGUAAUACCGGAUAAUGUCUAAGGACCAAAGAUGUGAUUUCACCUGAAGAUCGGUCUGCGUCCUAUCAUGCUUGUUGGUGGGGUAACGGCUCACCAAGGCUACGACGGGUACGGGGUGUGAGAGCAUGCCCCCGCUCACUGGGACUGAGACACUGCCCAGACACCUACGGGUGGCUGCAGUCGAGGAUCUUCGGCAAUGGGCGCAAGCCUGACCGAGCAACGCCGCGUGCGGGAUGAAGGCCUUCGGGUUGUAAACCGCUGUCAGUGGGGAGGAAGGCCCUGUGGAGAGCAGGGUUUGACCUAUCCGCAGAGGAAGUGUGGGCUAAGUUCGUGCCAGCAGCCGCCGUAAUAC